CCCCAUGCCCUUCCUCCCCACCACCGACUCGCUUUACUCCCAGCCCAAAUAACUUGGCUCAGGUCCCCAGACACCUGCCCACAGGCUCCCAACGAUUGUCUUAGCUGGGGAAGCCCUGGGCAUCCUUCAAAACCCAGUUUGGAUGACACCUCUGCUGAGAGGACUUCCUGUCGCCCCAGGGACAGAAUCCAUCACUUCCUCAUCUUAUCUGGCUCUUACCUGAGGCUCACACAAGACGACGACCUGACCGACCUGACCGAGAGAGUCCUACGAGACUGGACGCUCCCCAGAGGCAGGAACCAGAGCAUCUACUUCACUUCUGAAGGUGCCAGGAGGGAAAGGGACACUUUGCUUUCCAUAAAAGCUACUGCCCGGCUGUGUGCCUAGGGAUACUUCUCCCCGGGGGGGGGGGGGCAUCUUUUUUCUAAUGUGCAUAAAGGCCUGAGUGGACCAGGCCUGGCCCCAGGGGUGAGCUAGUCGGGCGGGUGGGGACACGGAGGUUGGCAUGCCGCUUCUCAGCGUGUGACCUUGGACGGGCCACUUCACCUCUCUGGACCUCGGUUUCCUCAUCUGUAACCUGGAGCUGCCAACUACCGAAGCAGUUGGGAAGCAGAUGGGACAAAAUGAGACCAAGCCGGCGAAGGGCCGAGAAGCCGCGCUCCAGAAAUCGGCCGUGCUCGCUGCUGCCACCCGGCGGAGGGAGGCGGGAGAACCGGCGAGCGGGCGGCCCGGGCCGUCAGGAGGAGGGAAGCGCCGAGGCUCCGAGGCCAGCACGACCCAGGAACGUGACGCGUGGCGCACAGGAGGUGCUCAUACAGCGACUGUCCCUUCGGCCCAAGACCGACACGCAUGGCCAGGGGGGACUCAGGCUGAGGCCCAGGAAGACCCACGCAUCUCCCAGGCCUCCUGGGUAUGGCGAGGUCCCAGGGAUGGUGUGGGACCCAAGAGCUCCCCAUCAGGACCUGGUGUAGCCCCACUCUGGCCCCAAGUGUUGAGCCAAAACUUAUCCGUUGCCUCCAUCCCAAUCACAGCAUUUCCCCACCCUAGACACCGCCCCCCCCCCCCCCCCCCCCCCCGCGGCCCAAACCCAUCUUGGAGUUUCUGCCUUGGCCCCAGAAUGUACAUAGGCAAAGGUAGCUGGAAACUAAUUGCAAAAUUUAUUCUAGGGCUGCAGGGGCUGGGAGAUUCUUAA
rnacentral:lncRNA from 1 species